rnacentral:rRNA from 1 species
UACGUAGGGUGCAAGCGUUGUCCGGAAUUACUGGGCGUAAAGAGCUCGUAGGCGGUUUGUUGCGUCGGCUGUGAAAUCCCGAGGCUCAACCUCGGGUCUGCAGUCGAUACGAGCAAACUAGAGUGUUGCAGGGGAGACUGGAAUUCCUGGUGUAGCGGUGAAAUGCGCAGAUAUCAGGAGGAACACCGGUGGCGAAGGCGGGUCUCUGGGCAACAACUGACGCUGAGGAGCGAAAGCGUGGGUAGCAAACAGG